rnacentral:lncRNA from 1 species
AGAGAGAGAGAGGAAAGUCGAGGGGGAAGGGGACGACAACCGGUGGUUGCUCUUGCAGGGAAGGGGCGGCGCUGUCUGUCGUGAGUGAGUAAUUCUAAUUUGGUGCGUGCGUGAUUCUUCAGCGAGGGACAAAAAUUUUGAGAGACCGUUUAUUAAGAGAGAAGAAGAAGAUUGGGUUGAGUCCUUCCUUCAUUUUCAACUAG